UGGUGACUAUAGCAAGGAGGUCACACCUGUUCGCAUGCCGAACACAGAAGUUAAGCUCCUUAGCGUCGAUGGUAGUCGAACUUACGUUCCGCUAGAGUAGAACGUUGCCAGGCA
rnacentral:rRNA from 1 species